UACAGCUACGCCUGAAGACCACGCUGUUAUGCACUGGAUGUCAGACACCGUGCAGAAGCAGCCGCACGGCAGGUCUGAGAGUCAGUAGCAAGGCAUCCACCGGCCAGUGCCCUGGAGGCUGCCGCCCCACACCUGCCCCUGGCCACAGCCUCCUGCACCAAAUCAGAUGACACACGCUCUGGGCAAACAUCGACAGCGGCUGGCCGCUGGGACUCAGAGCAGGCCCAGGCCCCGACAGUGUGCACAGACAGGGAAGGCACCUUUACUACGGUCCUCCCAUCUCAGCCUUCGUGGUGAACUGACCUGGGAAGACGGCACCGCAGUCAGUGUGUGGGCACGUGGGCCAGCACCGGGCCCCUCCUCCCAGUGUGGGCGUGAGAGGCCUGACACAUCCCAGGCCAAUCUCCCUGUCUCCACACACACGUCAGGCAGCUGGCUUCCCCACAGCUUCCACAACUACAGAGCUGUGGGGCAGGCGCUGGUGGUCACGUGCGCGCCAGCCACCAUGUCCAUGUACUGGACCUGGCUGGACAGGCUGGUCACCGCCGCCGGGUAGAAGCUGGAGUUCCUGAUUUUCAGGGUGGCCUGUGUCAGGGCGAAGGAUAGAGCGUGUGUCACGUCUUGGGCCCUGGACCGACCGGACCACCUGGGACGCGAGGCCCUGAGCCUCACCCUGAUGUCAAGGAUGACCAGACUCCCGUCUGUCGAAUGCCACUCUCACCACCUUAACAGCGUCGUCAUCCACCAGGACCGAGUGUGGGAACAGAAGAAAACCACCAAGCCUGACGCCAGGAGGCAGAGCACCGACAGGAGACACGCUGCUGUCACCUUCUGUCUCAUCUGUCCCCCAGGGGCAGGAGUGGGUGCGGGCAGAUGCUGAGUGCUGGGACCCCAUGGCCGGGAAGCACCACUCAGAGCUUGUCCUAGAGAGGGGCACUGGGUGGCGUCAGUGUCCGCCGAGGCCUGUAGAGGGUGGGCACGGGAUCACGCUGGGUGCACCGAGACCUCCCGCGCAGGAAGCGCGAGUGUGGUGUGGCCAGCGGGGGAGGGGCGAUCGGCGACUCUCAGAGUCUGCGGAGACCACGGGGAGCCGGUGUGCACCCAGACCUCCCGCGCUUCGAGUGUGGUGUGGCCAGCGGGGGAGGGGCGAUCGGCGACUCUGUCAGUGUCUGCGGAGACCACGGGGAGCCGGUGUGCACCCAGACUUCCCGCGCUUCGAGUGUGGUGUGGCCAGCGGGGGAGGGGCGAUCGGCGACUCUCAGAGUCUGCGGAGACCACGGGGAGCCGGUGUGCACCCAGACCUCCCGCGCUUCGAGUGUGGUGUGGCCAGUGGGGGAUGGCCGAUUGGUGACUUUGUCAGUGUCUGCGGAGACCACGGGGAGCCGGUGUGCACCGAGACCUCCCGCGCAGGAAGCACGAGUGUGGUGUGGCCAGCGGGGGAGGGGCGAUCGGUGACUCUCAGUGUCUGCGGAGACCAGGGGGCACCGGCUCACAUCUGCGCCCGCCCCAGCGAUUCCAGCGGCAGCCCCACCGCGCUGGGCCCUCUCUUGGCCGCAGGCCCGGCCUCGUCUCUUCCUCUCCACCCUCCUGGAGAAAACCUCCCGGACAACAGGCACAAGUUAGGACCGGCCUUGGCAGUUCCCAGCUCUUGAUUAGCCCCGCGGCCGCCAGGUCCGCCACGUCUACCCCAGCCUCCCACUAGACACUUGCCGCCUGCCUCGUGUCCCGGGCUGCGCGAUCCUGCGCGCGUGCGCGGACGCGGGGGAGGGGGCUCGCGCGGCACCCUCGUGCGCAGGCGCGGACCGGAAGACGGCCUCGGGGCGGCGGUGCGCAGGCGCAGACGCGGUGGGGGGGGAGGGCGGCUCGGAGAGUCCGUGCGCUCGCGCGUGCGCUCUCCGCAGUUCCGAGUCUUCCUCCUGCCGCGUAGCUGUCGCGCCCCCUUGACGCCGGUAGAGGGCGGCAGAGAGCGGGAGACCGGCGCACCCCGGGGGGCGCUUCCGGGGCCGUCUCCGGGCCGGGUGGGCAGCGGCGUCCGUGCGGCUGGAGGGCGCUCGGCGAGGCGGCGCGCGCCUGGGCUCGCAGCUCUGCCCCGGGGCAGCGUCCGGGCGGCGGCCAAGUGGGCAGGCGAGGCUGCCGCCAGCACGCGGGAGCCGCCGCCGCUGAGCCUGCGCGGAGCUGGCGCCCACAUCUCUCCUGGGUGCUGGGUCAACACCUGCCUGCCUGGAGGCUGGUCUCUGACGGGCGCCGCGGGGCACGUUCUGGCCCCUGCGGUUGGUGGGGACUUCCAGGAAAGCGUGAAGACGAUGGAGGCUCACUGGCCCUCGAGUUCUCCCUUCCGCUUUGCAUUUGCACUUGCUCUGGAGGUGGGGCAGCCAUCUUGUGACCACGGGAGGAAGCCGAGCGCAGGGAGGAGUCUGGAUCCCUGAUGGCGCCUGGAGCGGUGACCUGGGCCCCCCGGAGUUGUGUGCCGCCUUUUUGGGCGGUGCAGUUCUGACAGAGAGAGCGGCACUAGCAGACUGACGGCACCCCCAGGGCGCAGGCCCUUGCCCGCCUCCCAGGUUAGGCUGAGGCACUUGGAAAUGAGCCCAUCCUGCCAGUGGCCUGCUGAGGACCGGAGCCGCAUCCCCCGUGGAGAGGGGGCGCGUGAGGUGG
ensembl:lncRNA